AUUGAACGCUGGCGGCAGGCUUAACACAUGCAAGUCGAACGGUAACAUAAAGAAGUUUGCUUCUUUGAUGACGAGUGGCGGACGGGUGAGUAAUGCUUUGGAAUCUAGCUUAUGGAGGGGGAUAACUACGGGAAACUGUAGCUAAUACCGCGUAGUAUCGAGAGAUGAAAGUGUGGGACCUUCGGGCCACAUGCCAUAGGAUGAGCCCAAGUGGGAUUAGGUAGUUGGUGAGGUAAAGGCUCACCAAGCCGACGAUCUCUAGCUGGUCUGAGAGGAUGACCAGCCACACUGGGACUGAGACACGGCCCAGACUCCUGCGGGAGGCAGCAGUGGGGAAUAUUGCGCAAUGGGGGCAACCCUGACGCAGCCAUGCCGCGUGAAUGAAGAAGGCCUUCGGGUUGUAAAGUUCUUUCGGUAGCGAGGAAGGCAUUUAGUUUAAUAAACUAGGUGAUUGACGUUAACUACAGAAGAAGCACCGGCUAACUCCGUGCCAGCAGCCGCGGUAAUACGGAGGGUGCGAGCGUUAAUCGGAAUAACUGGGCGUAAAGGGCACGCAGGCGGUGACUUAAGUGAGGUGUGAAAGCCCCGGGCUUAACCUGGGAAUUGCAUUUCAUACUGGGUCGCUAGAGUACUUUAGGGAGGGGUAGAAUUCCACGUGUAGCGGUGAAAUGCGUAGAGAUGUGGAGGAAUACCGAAGGCGAAGGCAGCCCCUUGGGAAUGUACUGACGCUCAUGUGCGAAAGCGUGGGGAGCAAACAGG
rnacentral:rRNA from 1 species